rnacentral:piRNA from 1 species
AGAGUUAACAAGACACGAAACCUACU